rnacentral:lncRNA from 10 species
GGUUCCCGCCUGCGCCUCUCCCUCCACACCGCCUUGCAAGCUGAGGGAGCCGGCUCCGGCCUCUGCCAGCCCAGGAAGGGGCUCCCACAGUGCAGCGGCGGGCUGAAGGACUCCUCAAGUGCCACCAAAGUGGGAGCCCAGGCAGAGGAGGCGCCGAGAGCGAGCGAGGGCUGCCUGCCAGCACGCUGUCACGUCUCAGCAAUAGACUGCUCUUGAGGCUGGAGUGCAAUGUUGUUAUCAUAGCUCACUGCAACCUGGAACCCCUAGUCUCAAGAGAUCCUCCAGCCUCAGCCUCCCUGGGAUGGCUAUUUUUGUUACUUCUGAAUUCUACUACAAAAGAGUGCUGCAAUAAAAAUCUUUGAACAAGUUCUAAUGCCGUUCAACUGGAAUUGAAGUUUUCAAUCGUUGGAUAUGUCAAAAUUUAAUCAGAUUGUAUAUUGCUCAAUUACUUUCAAAUUAUGUACACCAAGUCAUUCUUGCUCUGGCAAAAUAAGAAUAUUUUCAUUAAUAUAUCAUUCAACUUGAAAUUGCCCAGCUUUUCCUUCUCAUUUCCCCCCAGUCAAAUGAGUUGAAUUAAUACUGUCUAAAAAUAUAUAUUCAUUUGCUUACCUGUUAGUAUUUGUUCCAUGUAUUAAGAAGCUUUGCUAGUAUAUGAAAAUAUAUGUAUUACCAUGUCUUGUGAAUUAGUACUUUUAUCAUUUUGAAAUGUUUGUUUUCAUUUCUGCUGACCGUUCUAACCUGGGUAUCUAUUUUGACUGGUUUUUAAUGUAACUACUAACAUCUUUUUAUGUUCAGCACUUUUUCACAAUUUUACUUUCAAUGUCUUUAUUUUUAAAAUGUAUCUUCUGUAGACAGUGUACAGGUGGUCUUGUUUUAUUGUAAAUCAAGUGACAAUCUCUAUUUCAUAAUUGACAUAUUUAAUCCAUAUAUAUUUAAUUUAAUUGUUGUUAUUUUGAGACUUAAUAUCCAGUUUUACUAUUUUGGCCCAUUUAUUUUUGGUUUAUUUUAGAUGUCUUGCCUUAUCUUAGAUUGAUUGAUAUUUUUAGUAUUUAAUUACAUUUCUUUUAUAAAUGUAAUUUCUUGAAUAUUUGUUUUUAUUUUAGCAAUUGCUCUGGGAAUAUAAAAAUCAUCUUUAAAAUCUAUUUAGAGUUAAUGGUACUACUUUAUGCAGUAGGUAAAAACAUUUCACUAGCACAAUUUCAUUUGCAGGCACCUAACCUUCUGUGAUAGUAUUGUCUUAUAUUGUUAUAUUUAUGAGAUACAAUCACUACAGUAAAAUACUAUUUUCUAUUCAUUGUGCCAUCUUAUAAAUAAACAGAUGAAUAAACAGAUAUUUUUGA